UCUGCCUAUAGGUUCUGUGAUGGUAUAUC
rnacentral:piRNA from 1 species